UACGGAGGGUGCAAGCGUUAUCCGGAUUCACUGGGUUUAAAGGGUGCGUAGGUGGGCAGGUAAGUCAGUGGUGAAAUCUCCGGGCUUAACCCGGAAACUGCCGUUGAUACUAUCUGUCUUGAAUGUAGUGGAGGUGAGCGGAAUAUGUCAUGUAGCGGUGAAAUGCUUAGAUAUGACAUAGAACACCCAUUGCGAAGGCAGCUCGCUACACUACGAUUGACACUGAGGCACGAAAGCGUGGGGAUCAAACAGG
rnacentral:rRNA from 1 species